rnacentral:sRNA from 1 species
ACUUCUUCUUCCUCUAAA